rnacentral:rRNA from 1 species
GAUGAACGCUGACAGAAUGCUUAACACAUGCAAGUCGAACGAGACCUUCGGGUCUAGUGGCGCACGGGUGCGUAACGCGUGGGAAUCUGCCCUUGGGUUCGGAAUAACUCGCCGAAAGGCGUGCUAAUACCGGAUGAUGUCGUAAGACCAAAGAUUUAUCGCCCAGGGAUGAGCCCGCGUAAGAUUAGGUAGUUGGUGAGGUAAAGGCUCACCAAGCCGACGAUCUUUAGCUGGUCUGAGAGGAUGAUCAGCCACACUGGGACUGAGACACGGCCCAG